rnacentral:lncRNA from 1 species
ACUUAUAUAUACCCAGCAAACACCAAAUAUAAAUGCAAUAUAACGUGAGAGUAACAUGUAAUAUAACAGACGUUACACUCUAUUUAUAUUAUAGUUACGAAACUUUACUACAUAUAUGUGAUGUAACAAAAUUAUGAAGCUAUAAUAUUACUUCGUUAUUUGUAUGUUACAAUAACCGGACAGUGAUGUAACCACAAUGUUGCGUGGUUACACAACAAUUGUUUCACUUAUGUUAUAUAAAUAUUAUAAAAUUUGAAUCUUGUGAGACUCUAACCUCAAUCGCACAACGUACAUCUCGUGCAUUAGGCGCGCUUUCCCCUAGUGGAUGCUAUAAUGACGAAAGAGAGAUGUUGUUUUCUUGCAACUUUAAUCAGGAUUCUGCCAAUUAUUCUUACAUCAUUCGGACAACUGUUCUUCUUAAAAUUUAAAAGAACGCAAAGAAUAACUGAAGUUUAUAAAAGUUGAAGAAAUUUUCACAAGGAUUAGAACAGAAAACUGAACUCAAAUGGAAGCGCUUGCACUCAUGUCACUAUCAUGUCCUGACAAUUUCGGAUUUUAUAAAACUAUAGGAGACGUGAUUGACGUUGAGAUUGUGAUUGACAGCUGGAGCAAAGCUAUAAUUUAGUUCAACAUUACGUGAAGUUUAUUUAAUGUUUUUCUCUUAUUUUCCCUCGUUUUUUAUGUUUUUAAAAAUUAUUUUUAAAAUAUAUUUACUAAUAAUCAUAAAGUAUAAUAUGUAUACAUUUGUUUAGAUAUAAGUUUAUUUU